UACGUAGGGGGCAAGCGUUGUCCGGAUUUAUUGGGCGUAAAGAGCUCGUAGGUGGUUCGGUAAGUCGGAUGUGAAAUCUCCAGGCUCAACCUGGAGGGGUCAUUCGAUACUGCCGUGACUAGAGUUCGGUAGGGGAGUGUGGAAUUCCUGGUGGAGCGGUGAAAUGCGCAGAUAUCAGGAGGAACACCCGUAGCGAAGGCGGCACUCUGGGCCGAUACUGACACUGAGGAGCGAAAGCGUGGAGAGCGAACAGG
rnacentral:rRNA from 1 species